rnacentral:rRNA from 1 species
UACGAAGGGGGCUAGCGUUGUUCGGAAUUACUGGGCGUAAAGGGCUCGUAGGUGGCCAACUAAGUCAGACGUGAAAUCCCUCGGCUUAACCGGGGAACUGCGUCUGAUACUGGAUGGCUUGAGUUUGGGAGAGGGAUGCGGAAUUCCAGGUGUAGCGGUGAAAUGCGUAGAUAUCUGGAGGAACACCGGUGGCGAAGGCGGCAUCCUGGACCAACACUGACACUGAUGCGCGACAGCAUGGGGAGCAAACAGG